rnacentral:misc_RNA from 1 species
UUUCCGUAGGUGAACCUGCGGAAGGAUCACUCAUAAUAAAGUGUUUUAUGGCACUUUUUAAAAAUCCAUAUCCGCCUUGUGUGCAAUGUUAGAUCUCGUCAAUCUUGGCGAGAUUUUUAUACAUCAACUCAUUCUUUAACUAAUUUGUCUGAAAAAUAUUAUGAAUACUUAAUUCAAAAUACAACUUUCAACAACGGAUCUCUUGGCUCUC